CAGUCGCCGCGGGAAAACGGAGGGUGCAAGCGUUAAUCGGAAUUACUGGGCGUAAAGCGUGCGUAGGCGGUUCGUUAAGUCUGUUGUGAAAGCCCCGGGCUCAACCUGGGAAUGGCAAUGGAUACUGGCGAGCUAGAGUGUGUCAGAGGAUGGUGGAAUUCCCGGUGUAGCGGUGAAAUGCGUAGAGAUCGGGAGGAACAUCAGUGGCGAAGGCGGCCAUCUGGGACAACACUGACGCUGAGGCACGAAAGCGUGGGGAGCAAACAGGAUUAGAUACCCGCGUAGUCCCUGUCUCUUAUAC
rnacentral:rRNA from 1 species